AGUUAAGUGACUAAGCGCACAAGGUGGAUGCCUUGGCAAUCAGAGGCGAAGAAGGACGUGCUAAUCUGCGAAAAGCUUGGAUGAGUCGAUAAGAGGCGUUUAAUCCAAGAUGUCCGAAUGGGGAAACCCAGUAGGUGAAGAACCUACUAUCACCCAGUGAAUACAUAGCUGUGUGAGGCAAACCGGGAGAACUGAAACAUCUAAGUACCCCGAGGAAAAGAAAUCAACCGAGAUUUCGUUAGUAGCGGCGAGCGAACGCGAAAGAGCCAGUUAGUGAUAGCAGUAAAGUUAGGGGAAUGUUCUGGGAAGGACAAUCGUAGAGGGUGAUAAUCCCGUACCUUAAAACUCCAUUGUGGUACUAGGCUAACAACAAGUAGGGCGGGACACGUGAUAUCCUGUUUGAAGAUGGGGGGACCAUCCUCCAAGGCUAAAUACUCCUGAUUGACCGAUAGUGAACCAGUACUGUGAAGGAAAGGUGAAAAGAACCCCGGCGAGGGGAGUGAAAUAGAACCUGAAACCUUGUGCGUACAAGCAGUGGGAGCAAGAGUAAUCUUGUGACUGCGUACCUUUUGUAUAAUGGGUCAGCGACUUAUAUUUUGUAGCAAGGUUAACUGAAUAAGGGAGCCGUAGGGAAACCGAGUCUUAACUGGGCGUGUAGUUGCAAGGUAUAGACCCGAAACCCGGUGAUCUAGCCAUGGGCAGGUUGAAGGUUGGGUAACACUAACUGGAGGACCGAACCGACUAAUGUUGAAAAAUUAGCGGAUGACUUGUGGCUGGGGGUGAAAGGCCAAUCAAACCGGGAGAUAGCUGGUUCUCCCCGAAAUCUAUUUAGGUAGAGCCUUGAGCGGACACCUUCGGGGGUAGAGCACUGUUUCGGCUAGGGGUC
rnacentral:rRNA from 1 species